ACGUUCCGGAGUAAUUUAGGAGUAAUUUAGGCAGAUGUUAACAAUGCACACACACUCAUGAAAUAUAUAUAAUUACAUUCAUUCCCCAAUGAGCGGCUUUGUGGCACCCCAGACAGAGUAGGUCCUACCUUUCCACCCCAGACAGAGUAGGUCCUACCUUUCCACCCCAGACAGAGUAGACCUACCUUUCCACCCCAGACAGAGUAGGGCCUACCUUUCCACCCCAGACAGAGUAGGGCCUACCUUUCCACCCCAGACAGAGUAGGUCUACCUUUCCACCCCAGACAGAGUAGGGCCUACCUUUCCACCCCAGACAGAGAAGACCUACCUUUCCACCCCAGUCUGCUAUUGGUUCCAACAGGUCUGCUGUUAGAACCAGUAAAGGCCACUUUACCACUGUUGGGUAACGGAAUGACUUUGGCUUCCCUCCAGGCCUGAGGACAAAGACUUUCCUCAAAGACUCAGAUUAAAGAUAUGACAGAUAGGAGUGACUAUAGAGUCAGCUACCAUCCUCAGUAGCUUUCCAUCUAAGUUGUCAAUGCCAGGAGGUUUGUCAUUAUUGAUCAAUAACAAUUAUUUCUCACCUCUCUCACACUAACUUUACAACAUUUUAACUUACAAUGUUUUUAUUUCAUUAUUUGUUGUUUUAUGCAUGGGUAUGAUGGCUCACAGUUUGUCCACUUUGCCAAUUAAAUAAUCAUUAAAAUAAUUUGCAACCUCAGUUUCUGUGUUGUAGUUUGUAUUUGAGUGUGCCAGACUUAUUAGCCACUCCUUUUGCCCCAUCUCUUUCAACCAUACAGUUUUGAAAUUCCUCAUCAAUCCAUGGAGCCUUAACAGUUCUAA
rnacentral:lncRNA from 13 species